rnacentral:rRNA from 1 species
GACGAACGCUGGCGGCGUGCCUAAUACAUGCAAGUUGAGCGCUGAAGGUUGGUACUUGUACCAACUGGAUGAGCAGCGAACGGGUGAGUAACGCGUGGGGAAUCUGCCUUUGAGCGGGGGACAACAUUUGGAAACGAAUGCUAAUACCGCAUAAAAACUUUAAACACAAGUUUUAAGUUUGAAAGAUGCAAUUGCAUCACUCAAAGAUGAUCCCGCGUUGUAUUAGCUAGUUGGUAAGGUAAAGGCUCACCAAGGCGAUGAUACAUAGCCGACCUGAGAGGGUGAUCGGCCACAUUGGGACUGAGACACGGCCCAAACUCCUACGGGAGGCAGCAGUAGGGAAUCUUCGGCAAUGGACGAAAGUCUGACCGAGCAACGCCGCGUGAGUGAAGGAGGUUUUCGGAUCGUAAAACUCUGUUGGUAGAGAAGAACGUUGGUGAGAGUGGAAAGCUCAUCAAGUGACGGUAACUACCCAGAAAGGGACGGCUAACUACGUG